AACGAACGCUGGCGGCAUGCCUAACACAUGCAAGUCGAACGAGACCUUCGGGUCUAGUGGCGCACGGGUUCGUAACGCGUGGGAACCUGCCCUUAGGUUCGGAAUAACUCCCCGAAAGGGGUGCUAAUACCGGAUAAUGUCUUCGGACCAAAGAUUUAUCGCCUUUGGAUGGGCCCGCGUUGGAUUAGCUAGUUGGUAGGGUAAAAGCCUACCAAGGCGACGAUCCAUAGCUGGUCUGAGAGGAUGAUCAGCCACACUGGGACUGAGACACGGCCCAGACUCCUACGGGAGGCAGCAGUGGGGAAUAUUGGACAAUGGGCGAAAGCCUGAUCCAGCAAUGCCGCGUGAGUGAUGAAGGCCUUAGGGUUGUAAAGCUCUUUUACCCGGGAUGAUAAUGACAGUACCAGGAGAAUAAGCUCCGGCUAACUCCGUG
rnacentral:rRNA from 1 species